UAUGUACUGUAUAUACAUAUUGGAUAUGUACUAGAGAAGCUGGGGUUGUGGAAACUCUACUUAUAUAAUGCAUGAACUAGCACUACUAAAAACAGGGGGCAUUUGCAUCUGAAUUUAGCAACGGAAUUAUCCGUUGCUAAAUUCAGUAACGGAUUUGCAACGGAUUACACAUAUAUUAUUUUUUUAAUAUUAGCAACGGACUUUAGCAACGGAUAAUCCGUUGCAAAAUUUACGUUGAAUUUAGCAACGGAUUUUCCGUUGCUAAUUGAAAAAAAAUAAAUUAAAAUGUUAAAAUUAUGUAGACCGUUGAUUGCAUAAAAUCUGAACCGUUUAUUUUCACUCUCUCCCCCCACACCGAAAUACAGAUCCAACAACCAUUUACGCUGAAAAUUAAUUUACUUCCACUCUUCCAGUAUCCUUCUUCGUCCCUAAUAACAUCGAUUCCUAACUGUUCAAAAAUCACCCUCUCUUCAUCGAUUUCAUCUUCCUUUACCCGAAACUGUUCAUCAUCUUCGCACUCGUCUUCGGCAACCCUAUUUUUUUUCUUCAUCUUCUUCUCCUUCAUCUUAACAGUUUCAAUAUUUCUCUGCAAACCAACAAAAACAGAGACCCAUGGCAACAUCGCACCAGAUCCAUCGAUUUCACCAUCGAACAUCCUGUUUUACCCCUUCUCUGUAAACGGGUUAGGUUUUGCACUGUUUUCUUCGAUAGCUCAGGUGUUAUUCUGUCGUGUUGAUCCAUCUCCCUCACCUGUAACUGAAGAACACAGGUUUUUAAGCGUGGCAUCAAGUUAUCUUCCUCAAUAAUUAAUCAGCCUUUGGGUUCUUCUUGGCACGAAAGCGGUGUGUUGCGUUCUUACUAUUAUUUAAUAUGGUCU